rnacentral:rRNA from 1 species
GGUGAGUAAUGCGUGACCGACCUGCCCCAUGCACCGGAAUAGCUCCUGGAAACGGGUGGUAAUGCCGGAUGUUCCACAUGAGCGCAUGCGAGUGUGGGAAAGGCUUUUUGCGGCAUGGGAUGGGGUCGCGUCCUAUCAGCUUGUUGGUGGGGUAACGGCCUACCAAGGCGUUGACGGGUAGCCGGCCUGAGAGGGCGACCGGCCACAUUGGGACUGAGAUACGGCCCAGACUCCUACGGGAGGCAGCAGUGGGGAAUAUUGCACAAUGGGCGCAAGCCUGAUGCAGCGACGCCGCGUGCGGGAUGGAGGCCUUCGGGUUGUAAACCGCUUUUGUUCAAGGGCAAGGCACGGUUUCGGCCGUGUUGAGUGGAUUGUUCGAAUAAGCACCGGCUAACUACGUGCCAGCAGCCGCGGUAAUACGUAGGGUGCAAGCGUUAUCCGGAUUUAUUGGGCGUAAAGGGCUCGUAGGCGGUUCGUCGCGUCCGGUGUGAAAGUCCAUCGCUUAACGGUGGAUCCGCGCCGGGUACGGGCGGGCUUGAGUGCGGUAGGGGAGACUGGAAUUCCCGGUGUAACGGUGGAAUGUGUAGAUAU